AUGUCCCGGCCGCUCAAGACCUCCGCGUGCUGCAAGCACUACGCCGCCUAUGACGUGGACGACUGGUACGGCCACACGCGCUUCAAGUUCGACGCCCGCGUCGAGGAGCGCGACAUGGUCGAGACCUUCCAGCGCCCAUUCGAGAUGUGUGUCCGCCACGGCGACGUCAGCAGCGUCAUGUGCUCCUACAACCGCGUCAACGGCAUCCCGGCCUGCGCCGACGCGCGCCUCCUCUCCGGCACCAUCCGCCGCGACUGGGGCCUCCACGGCUACAUCGUCUCCGACUGCGACGCCGUGCGCGUCAUGACCGACAACGCCACAUGGCUGGGCUACACCGCGGUCGAGUCCACCGCCGCCGUGCUCAAGGCCGGGCUCGACCUCGACUGCGGCGAGAGCUGGAUCGUGCAGGACGGCAAGCCCGUCAUGGAUUUCCUCACCACCUACGGCCUGGAGGCCGUCCAGAAGGGCAAGACGCGCGAGUCCGACGUCGACAACGCGCUCACCAACCUCUACAUGACGCUCAUGAGGCUCGGCUACUUCGACGGCAUGCCCAGGUACGAGUCCCUCAACGAGAAGGACAUCUGCAGCGACGACCACAGGAGCCUCGCCCUCGACGGGGCCAGACAGGGCAUGGUGCUCCUCAAGAACCACGGCGGCCUGCUGCCCCUUGACCCCAACAAGUACGGCGCCGUCGCCGUCCGCGGCCCACAUGCUGAGGCGCCUGAAAAGAUCAUGGACGGAGACUACACAGGUGAUCAGCUCUUCUCUAGCUGCUGCUGUACUACGUACACCUCACAUGUCACGACACAUGACGUACUCACAUGUUACACAUUCUCUUGGAUGAAAUUUGUAAAUGCAGGGCCGCCUUGCCGGUACGUGACGCCGCGAGAAGGCAUAAGCAAGGACGUGAACAUCUCGCACCACGCAAACUUGACAAUCUACUUUGGUGGCAUAAACAUGCACAUCGAGAGGGAGGGCAACGACAGGGAGGAUCUCCUCCUGCCCAAGAACCAGACGGAGGAGAUCCUCCACAUCGCGGCGGCAUCGCCUAACCCGAUCGUCCUCGUGAUCCUGUCCGGCGGCGGCAUCGACAUCUCCUUCGCGCAGGGCAACCCCAAGAUCGGCGCCAUCCUCUGGGCCGGGUACCCUGGCGGAGAAGGUGGCAACGCCAUUGCUGAUGUCAUCUUCGGAAGAUACAGUCCAGGAGGACGGCUGCCACUGACAUGGUUCAAGAACAAGUACAUCCACCAGAUUCCUAUGACGUCCAUGGAGCUACGACCGCGGCCGGACCACGGGUACCCUGGGAGGACAUACAAGUUUUACGACGGGCCGGAGAUGCUUUAUCGGUUCGGCCACGGCCUGAGCUACACCAAGUUCCGAUACGAGACCAGCGCUGGCAACGGCACCGCAGUCACCCUCGCCGCCGGCGGGCACUGCAAGCGGCUCAGCUACAAGGCCGGCGCCGUGGACGCUGCCCCGUCCUGCCCCGCCAUCGACGUCGCGAGCCACUCCUGCAAGGAGACCGUGGACUUCAACGUCAGCGUCGUCAAUGGCGGUGACGUGGACGGCAGCCACACCGUGCUGGUGUACACUGUGCCGCCGCCCGAGGUGGCCGGCGCGCCCAUCAAGCAGGUGGUGGCGUUCCAGAGGGUGUUUGUGAAGGCGGGCGGCGCAGCGACCGUGGGGUUCUCGCUCAAGGUGUGCGAGGUGUUUGGCAUCGUGGAGAAGACGGCGUACACCGUCGUGCCGUCAGGGGUCAGCACCGUCCUCCUUGAGAACGGUGACACGUCGUCGCCGUCGUCGGUCUCUUUCCCCGUCAAGAUCAACUUCUCUACUUAG
rnacentral:rRNA from 1 species